AGAAAAGCAGGGGCAUGUUUUAUCUAUAAACAAGCUUCUCAUAAGAUUUAGGGAAAUUAUAUCCAUUGUUAUUGGGUGAACCUGUGUACAUUGUUGAUGACAGAAGGUUCAGUAAACAAUGAAACAUUU
rnacentral:snoRNA from 1 species